UGCAAAAUGUGAAUAAGUUCUUUUUUCAAUGCACUGUAGCGUUCUUCAUAACACCAACAGGUCGCUGCAACGUUGGUUGGGAUGAAACACCCGUUUCAUGCAUACAAUGGUUUUGCUACAGUUCUGGACUGAGACUCUCCAUGCAUCUCCUACUGACAAAUCCACAUCGGCACAUGUCUUGUACUCGCAUGUCUGACUUGUAGUAUUCUUUUCAAUGAAACGGUAAAAUUAGUGUGAAAUAUACCAAAGUAUCAAAACUCCUCUUGUGCUUUUAGGAGCAGCAUGAACAGGGCCUUACUGCCGUCAGUACAAGGUGCAGAAGUAUGAACCCUGCUCCAAGGCAGGAGAACAGACAGCUUCUGAACAAACUGUAACACAUUAGCUCUGACACAGAGAAAUAAUAUUUGCUCGCUCAAAUUACAAAUUUUCCGUGUAGCAGAUAGAGAAGGUACACUUGGGCUCUUUUUAAUUUCACACACAGAGAGAGAACGUUUUUCCACAGCACAGUUAAAAGAAAAGGUUCCUACACAUUCACUGCUUCAUUUUUUCCUCUCUCUGCACAACAGUGACAGAAUCAGUGGGAGUACAGCUUGUCAUAGGAGAUACCAUUUUAUCUAGUCCUGUCUGGAGUCUGCAGAUUGCAGUGAUGAAUAUUUUUUCUUCUUUCUGAUUUGUGCUCCUUUGGAAAAAAAAAAAAUAAAUAAAGAAAAAAAAAAACUUCAUGUGUGACAUACGAAUUCAUUUGAAAAAAUGCUGCACAAUUAUGUAUCUGUGAGUGCAUUUUUGUUUACUGCGGCUCAGAGAAGCUUCCUAAUUGCAGAGCAAGGCUUACCAGUGACCUUUAGUUGACUCAUAAAUUGUCAGCUGGCCCCUUCACCUUGGCCCCAGUCCACCCUAGAUCUCAAGGGGAAUGUACCAUUUAAACCAUUAGAGUGUCAUUUGAGAGGAAGGAGCAAGGCUACAUGAGUGGGUCGCGGAGACUGAUAGAAGAGAGUGAGGGGUCUCCUGUUCCUGUCUCUUCCUUUCUCUUAGUCUUGUAUUUCAGUGAAGACACUCCAGGUUAUCAUUUAAAGUUGCAAAACUAGUUGUAUCAUGUGAGCCUUUUCACAAGUUCUUACGUGACCCCGAACCUUAAUGCAUUUUAUUUGAUUUUAUGUGACUGAUCAAUGCAAGAUGGUGCAGAUUGUUUUUUCUUUUCCCAUUUAGAGGCUAAACUUUUUGUCGAGCCUUCUUUUCAAAUUAGCUUAAAUUUAAUGAAAUUGGAUGGAAAAUAUCCAAUCUGAUUCAGUUAUUUUGAUUAUUAUUACAUAGGGUAUUUGUUGACUCUCAUGCCUUUCCACACUCAUUUCAAAAAGUGCAUUUGGUGUCUCAUCUGACCAAAGUGUCUGUUCCACAUGUUUGCUGUGAAAACCGCAAAUCAAACUUUUAAUGGCCGUCUUUCAAUAGCGGCUUUCUCCUCGCCACUCGGACAAUUGGUUGCACUGGAUUUUAUUAAGGAGUACAAGAAUAAAGGUGUCCAACUUUGAAUGAAUAACAUACUUCAGACUUUUAGUAUUAAAAACAAUUAUAAAGCCAUGUCCCAUAUUUACUCCAUUUUGCAGUGGAGUAAUAAAAAGCUAAGUGGAGCAAAUAAAAUACAUUAAAAUUACUGGUCGUAAUGGGUUAACAGGCCAAGCAUUUAAUAACAUAUGAAUGCUUUUGCAAGGCACUGUAAAAAAACAAAAAAACGAUUAGCUAAGUAUGUUUUGUUUUGAAGAUUGACAGGAUUGCCGGGGCAGCUAAAAUAUCUGCAGCAUGAAAAAGAGCAACAUGGAUGAUCUGGGGGAGUUUCGGGAUACAGAGAGGCCUGAAUCAUGCUGGAGGCAGAGAUGGACCAGAGCCAAGACGGUAGAGGAAGCGUGAGGCUCUCCUCACUCCCUUGUCCAGCACCAGUCCACCCAUUUAUCAAUCUGCAUUAGGCGACUGUAGGGAGACGGGCAGGUCAAUCCACAUCCAGAUGAAGCAUUAUUACAGACUGCCGCUCCAUCCAUCCAGUCUCCAUCCCCGUGUGUGAAGCUCACUUGAACUGGAGACUCCAAGACAUUUUUUUUUUCCAGCAUUUCAAAAAUAAACUCUAAAGAGACGCUUGGUGCAAAGAUGCAUGCGAGGAUGAAUUAAUAAGCAUAUGCGCCUCU